rnacentral:rRNA from 1 species
CCCUUAGAUGUUCUGGGCCGCACGCGUGCUACACUGAGUGGAUCAGCGGGUCAGGUUGCGCGAAAGCGUUUCCUAAUCUUUAAAUCCGCUCGUGAUGGGGAUUGACGGUUGCAAUUUUCUGUCAUGAACGAGGAAUACCUUGUAAGCGCGGGUCAUCAUCCCGCGCUGAAUACGUCCCUGCCCUUUGUACACACCGCCCGUCACUCCUACCGAUUGAGUGGUCCGGUGAGGCUUUGGGAUCUGAGCGGAAGGAGCGUUUCGCUGUUUCUGCUCGGAAAACUCAGUCGAACCUUAUCAUUUAGAGGAAGGAGAAGUCGUAACA